rnacentral:ncRNA from 1 species
UAAGUUGCGUUGAAAAGGAAAAGUAAACAAAAGAACUUAUUCGAGUGAGUUAGGUAUAGUGAGAACUAAUAAUAAGCUUUGUUGAAAGAACACCUUGGAGCAAACUACCGAAAGAAAUAUUUUAGUAGGCUAGUUCGGAAGCAAUCCGUUAUCAUAUUGCUAGGUUUGUUAGAACUAAAAAAGAGUGAUUAUUGAAAACAAGCCAUUAUAUAUAAUGGUUUUUUUAGUAAUAAAUUAAGGUGGCACCACGGAUACCCGAUAUUCGUCCUUAUU